GAAAAUGACUGAUAAUAUAAUAAAUAAAUUAUUUAAUAAAUUUAACAAUAAUAUUUAUCAUGUCUCUAAUGAAAAAAUGGAUAAUCAAUUAAAUUAACAAACAAUUAUUAGUGUUUUCAAAUUAAACUCCUCCUGCUAUGCCCCGUAAACGAAUUAUAAAUCCAAAUCAUAUUGAAAAAUUGACGCAAGUUAAUGGAUUGUACAUACAUUCAAACCCACCUCGUGUUUUAUCAAUAAAUUCAAAUCAAAUUAGACAUUGGAUACGCAUUGGUGACACUGAUAAACUAGAUCAAAUUGUUCUAGAAGGUAAAGGGGCAAAAUUAUUGGGAGAAUAUUCUCCUGAUAAUAAAAUACGUACAUAUCUAAAGUCCAUUCCACACUUCAUGUCAAAAAUUGAAUUAGUACAUGACGCAGUCAGUGGAAAUUCAUUACCAGAACUACAAAGUCUUUUAAAUGAAGAUGGUGGUAAACGCAAGUUAGCUUCAUGUAAGGAUCAAGCAGGUGUUGGAUUAUUACAUAAAGCUGUUUAUUACGAUUUACCAGAAAUUGUACAUUAUUUAGUUGAUAAUUAUACGUAUUUAAUUAACCAAAAAGAUAAGGAAGGUCGGACACCAUGUCAUUAUUGUGCGGCUUGCAGAGACCCAUAUGGGAUGAUGAGAAUUUUAACAAAUGCUGGUGCUGAUUCAAAUGUUGUAGAUUCAAAAGGACAUAAUCCAGCAUAUUAUAUUGAUCAUCCUGUUGAAUUAGAAUUACCACAAUCACCAAAAACAAUGGCUUAUCUGGGCAUACAGAAAAAACCCAAGGAGGAGGGAUUGGUAAUUAAACCAUCAAAUAUUCGAAUAUGGAUUCAUCAAAAAGAUAUUGGUAAAUUACAAAAAGUAUUAUGGGAAGGGCAUGGGAAUAAAUUAAAAGUUGAGACAAGCAAUAAUCCUAAAGUAAAAAGAUUUUUGGAAUCUAUACCUCAUAUAAUGGCCUUAAUCAAAGACAUUCAUACCACUGUAAUUAAUGAUAAUUUAGAUGCUAUGAAAGAAAAAACAGCAUUUCCAGUCCCACCAAUUAUACUUUCAAGUAAAGAUUCAAACGGCUUAACUGUUUUACAUAAGGCUGUAGGCUUAGGUCGUAUGGAAAUGGUUCAGUAUAUAUUAGAUAAAUGUCCAAGUACGCUUACAAUAUGUGAUAAUGAAGGUAGAACUCCUUUGCAUUAUGCAGCAACGUUAAAGGAUCAAAAUGAAAUGUAUGAUUAUUUAAUUGAGCAAGGUGCAGAUGAAGCAAAAUUAGAUAAUAAACAAAAAACUGCUGGAUUUUAUAAAAAUAGACCAAUGGAUAUUGACAGUAAAUUAUUGGUAGUUGUACCAGAAGCUCCUCGUACUCCUAGCAGUACAUUUCCCCCCAGCUGGGAUUGGAGUUUACUAGGAUAUUCAAUAGCAAAUUCAACGUCAAAUCAUAAAAUAGAAAAAUUACAAGAUGCGAGUAAGACAAAAAACGGCGAAAGUUCCACUCCACCUCAAGUAAAUGGAGAUUCAAAUGAACAUAAAGAAAAUGAAAAUAAUUCAGAAAAUGAGAAUACCGAACCGGAAAAAAUUGAUGAAGACAAAAUUGAAAGUGAACCACCAGAAACGAAUGGUGAUGAAAACAAAGAAGAAGAAGUUAAAGAGGAGAAUACAUUAGAUGAUGAAGAGCACACCACAAACGGUUAUAUUAAAUCGUACGAGCGUGAACCGAGCGUGGAGGAGAAAGAAAACGAUACAAAAGAAAAUGAUACAACAGAUCCAGAAAUGAAUUCAAAAGAUGAAGAAGUACCUGAAACCGUAAAUGAAGAAAACACAAAUGCAACUGAGAAUCAAGAGACUGAAAAAAGUAUAGAAAAAGUUGAGGAAAGUCAUCAUGACACAAAUGAUGACGAAAAUGUAGAGAAACCAGAUGAUAAUCAAGAAAAUGAGAAUAGUGCAGAAGAAAGCACACAACAGGAAAGUGCUAAUUCUGAAGAACAAGCAGAGGAAAGUGGUGAAAAUGUAGAAGAAAAUAUAGAUGGAAUAUUAUCUUCUAUACAAGGGAAUGUAACAAACGAAAAUGAUGAAGAAAAAGAGGAUGAUGAUGAAGAUAAAAAUUCUGAACGAGUUAUUGAAGGGAUUGUUAAAGGCGAUGAAGAAAAAUUAAAUAAUGAUGGUCAAGAUCCAAAUUUCUUAUCACCCACCGAUGAUGAAAUAAGAGAAAUGGUGGAAACUGCAAAUAUGGAACAAUUAGCAGCUUUAGUUUUAAAUGGUGAUGGUAAUCGAUUAAUCGGUCAAGUAUCACCCAAUCCAGAGUUACAAGUAUUUUUAGAUAAUGUACCUUCUUAUAUGGACAAAAUAAAACGAGUUCAUAUUGCUGCUCGAGAAGGUAGCCUAAGAGAUUUACAAGCGGCAUUGGACCGUCGUAAAUUUGCUAUUGCAAAGGAUAAAGGAUCACCAAAUGGUGCAAGUCCUUUACAUACUGCCGUCAUAUUUGGUAAUACAAGUAUUGUACGGUAUUUGGCAGGACGAUUUCCAGAAACGGUACAAAUUGAGGAUGAUAUGGGUCGUACACCAUUACAUUAUGCUGCAACACUUGCCGAUAAUGGACAUUAUUACAAUUUAUUAUUACAUUUAGGUGCGAAUGCAAAGACACAAGACAAACUUGGCCAUAUGGCUGAAUAUUAUCGAAACAAUUCCGAAGAAUUAUCACAUCAAUCAUUAUUAAUGGACUAUGGAGUUGAUGAACAAGUUACAACGGAUUUAGCUGACAGAGUACAAGAUGACAAAUAUUCAUCUCGACGAAUUUUGGAUGAUGUUGACAUUCUAUCAACACUGGAACGGUGUUUUCGCCUUCUACAGGGUCGUCGUGGCUCUUCAUAUUCGUUAAGUUUAUCAUCAGCUCAACCAAAUUUAAAUACCGCAUAUGGUGCCCAAACUACACGUUAUUUACGACGACAUAUAUUUGAUACAGUAAAAAAUCGUAUAACACGUAUGGACCAUAAUUUGUAUGAUGUAAUUUGGCCAAGUAUUAAAAUAAGAUCGAUUGACAAUAAUGUCGCACAACUGGGUAUGGAAACUGAUUUACCUGGGGGUAUUAUUGCACCAGAUUAUUACGCAUACCAUGUAUUUAAUGAAUUCAUGCAACUGAUAAUUAAAGAUUUGCAUUGCAUAAAUCUACAUUCUGAAUUGCACCCUCAACCCGAUUCAUUUUUCUAUGAUAUGGAGGAUUUGGAAAACUUAAAUGAAACUUUAGCAACCAUUGAUAUUGAUUUGGAUCCAUUUCAAAAACAUAUCUUGCACUCAUCAAUUGAAUGUACAAGGAAUUUUGAAUAUAGUGAGCUACCAGUAUCAUUGAAUCUAGGUGCCCUAGAGGAAGUUGAACGUGUGUUAACAACGGAACUAUUGGGACCAGACAUUACCGAAAUACUAAAAUCAAAAAAUUCCAACGUUGAAGAUAAAGGUGUUUACUACACACUCAGUGAAAUCCUUGAAGAAAAGUCAGAAGUCCGAGAAACAUUAAUAAAAAAUGGAUUAAUGAUUCCAUUAUGGGACUUCAAUGGAGAAACAAUACGACUACAUGGUCGUCAUUGGCCAUUCGGCCGAGGAGUAUUUGUAAGUCCACAAAUGGAUGUAGCAUUUUGGAUCAAUGUUUUAGAUCAUUUGCGCAUAAUUGUGACACCAUCUGCGGAUACACCAGGUUAUAUUGGUAGUGCGUAUAUAAAAAUGGCACAGAUUGUUACAUUCCUUGAUACACGAUUAAAAUUCAAACGUGAUAAAUUAUACGGUUAUUUAUCAGCACGACCCGCUUCGAUUGGAAAUGCUUUACAUUUAAAUGCCACAAUUAAAUUUGCACAUUUAAAUAAGGAUGAAAAUAAUUUAAAACAUUUAUGUUUGGUACGAGGUUUAACAUUCUUAAAAAAAUACGAUGAUCAGAACAUAAUUACGGUGGGGAAUCAACAAUCAUUAUCUUUGACUGAACUACAAACAUUUAGAGAUUUUACAACGGCCGUUGGUAAUAUUUUACAGUUAGAAAAAGAUCUUGCCUUAUCAAAUUCAAUGCAUAUUGCUGCGUUAUUUGUAAAUAUUUUUAAACGAAAAAAGUCUGCAUUAUCAGGUGGAACAUAUUAAAAUUAUUUCUAAAAUUUAAAACAAAAGAGGUUUUUAAGUAACUCUAGUGCCUUAAAAUAUAAAUUAUUUUUGUUAUCAAGUUUUUAAUUAAUCACACACUAAGUAAUAUUGUUUAUUUUGGUAUGAAAAAUAUUUUUUUAAACAUUUAGAACACACAAAAAUUAAACAGAUACAAUAAUUUUGGAUUUUCUUCACUGCAGUCGAUGCUGAAGAGCAACUUAUAACAAUUUUCAGACUAUGGCAUUCAUUAGCUUUGGGUGACCCAUUAAUAAAAGGUUUAACUGAAGUAGCUAAUAAACGACCAAAAGAUCCAA